CAAGUCGUGGGGCAGCAGGGGUGUAGCAAUACAUCUGCUGGCGACCGGCAAACGGGUGCGUAACACGUACGCAACCUUCCCGUUACUGUGGCAUAGCCCAGGGAAACUUGGAUUAAUACCACAUAUUAUAUUGAGGGGGCAUCCUCUUGACAUCAAAGCUUCGGCGGUAACGGAUGGGCGUGCGGUUGAUUAGGUAGUUGGCGGGGUAACGGCCCACCAAGCCUACGAUCAAUAGCUGAUGUGAGAGCAUGAUCAGCCACACGGGCACUGAGACACGGGCCCGACUCCUACGGGAGGCAGCAGUAAGGAAUAUUGGGCAAUGGACGAAAGUCUGACCCAGCCAUGCCGCGUGAAGGAUUAAGGUCCUCUGGAUUGUAAACUUCUUUUCUCUGGGGCGAAAAACAGCUAUUCUUAGUUGCUUGACAGUACCAGAGGAAUAAGCACCGGCUAACUCCGUGCCAGCAGCCGCGGUAAUACGGAGGGUGCAAGCGUUAUCCGGAUUCACUGGGUUUAAAGGGUGCGUAGGUGGGCCAGUAAGUCAGUGGUGAAAUCCCCGAGCUUAACUCGGGAACUGCCGUUGAUACUAUUGGUCUUGAAUAUCGUGGAGGUAAGCGGAAUAUGUCAUGUAGCGGUGAAAUGCUUAGAUAUGACAUAGAACACCGAUUGCGAAGGCAGCUUGCUACACGGUCAUUGACACUGAGGCACGAAAGCGUGGGGAUCAAACAGGAUUAGAUACCCUGGUAGUCCACGCCCUAAACUAUGGAUACUCGACAUCAGCGAUACACAGUUGGUGUCUGAGCGAAAGCAUUAAGUAUCCCACCUGGGAAGUACGAUCGCAAGAUUGAAACUCAAAGGAAUUGGCGG
rnacentral:rRNA from 1 species